GACGAACGCUGGCGGCGUGCUUAACACAUGCAAGUCGAACGGAAAGGCCCUGCUUUUGUGGGGUGCUCGAGUGGCGAACGGGUGAGUAACACGUGAGUAACCUGCCCUUGACUUUGGGAUAACGUCAGGAAACUGGGGCUAAUACCGGAUAGGAGCUCCUGCUGCAUGGUGGGGGUUGGAUAGUUUCGGCGGUUGGGGAUGGACUCGCGGCUUAUCAGCUUGUUGGUGGGGUAGUGGCUUACCAAGGCUUUGACGGGUAGCCGGCCUGAGAGGGUGACCGGACACAUUGGGACUGAGAUACGGCCCAGACUCCUACGGGAGGCAGCAGUGGAGAAUAUUGCACAAUGGGCGGAAGCCUGAUGCAGCAACGCCGCGUGCGGGAUGACGGCCUUCGGGUUGUAAACCGCUUUCGCCUGUGACGAAGCGUGAGUGACGGUAAUGGGUAAAGAAGCACCGGCUAACUACGUG
rnacentral:rRNA from 1 species